rnacentral:rRNA from 1 species
GAUGAACGCUGACAGAAUGCUUAACACAUGCAAGUCUUUGGCGAAGCUGUGCUUGCACAGCCUAGCCAAGGCGGACGGGUGAGUAACGCGUAAGGAACUUGCCCUGCAGUCAGGGAUAACAGACGGAAACGACUGAUAAGACCUGGUAAAGUCAGGCGGACUCAUGUCCAGCUUGAUGAAAAGAGAUGCUGCAGGAGAGCCUUGCGUCCUAUUAGCUUGUUGGUGGGGUAACGGCCCACCAAGGCGAUGAUAGGUAGCCGGCCUGAGAGGGUGGACGGCCACAAGGGGACUGAGAUACGGCCCUUACUCCUACGGGAGGCAGCAGUGGGGAAUAUUGGACAAUGGGGGCAACCCUGAUCCAGCAAUUCUGUGUGCACGAUGAAGGUUUUCGGAUUGUAAAGUGCUUUCAGCAGGGAAGAAAAAAAUGACGGUACCUGCAGAAGAAGCGACGGCUAAAUACGUG